rnacentral:rRNA from 1 species
UACGGAGGAUCCGAGCGUUAUCCGGAUUUAUUGGGUUUAAAGGGUGCGUAGGCGGCCUGUUAAGUCAGGGGUGAAAGACGGUAGCUUAACUAUCGCAGUGCCCUUGAUACUGAUGGGCUUUGAAUGUACUAGAGGUAGGCGGAAUGUGACAAGUAGCGGUGAAAUGCAUAGAUAUGUCACAGAACACCAAUUGCGAAGGCAGCUUACUAUGGUAUGAUUGACGUGAGGCACGAAAAGCGUGGGGGAUCAAAACAGG